rnacentral:rRNA from 1 species
AGGGAAUCUUCCACAAUGGACGCAAGUCUGAUGGAGCAACGCCGCGUGAGUGAAGAAGGUCUUCGGAUCGUAAAGCUCUGUUGUUGGUGAAGAAGGAUAGAGGCAGUAACUGGUCUUUAUUUGACGGUAAUCAACCAGAAAGUCACGGCUAACUACGUGCCAGCAGCCGCGGUAAUACGUAGGUGGCAAGCGUUGUCCGGAUUUAUUGGGCGUAAAGCGGGCGCAGGCGGAAUGAUAAGUCUGAUGUGAAAGCCCACGGCUCAACCGUGGAACUGCAUCGGAACUGUCAUUCUUGAGUGCAGAAGAGGAGAGUGGAACUCCAUGUGUAGCGGUGGAAUGCGUAGAUAUAUGGAAGAACACCAGUGGCGAAGGCGGCUCUCUGGUCUGCAACUGACGCUGAGGCUCGAAAGCAUGGGUAGCGAACAGGAUUAGAUACCCUGGUAGUCCAUGCCGUAAACGAUGAGCGCUAGGUGUUGGGGACUUUCCGGUCCUCAGUGCCGCAGCAAAACGCA